rnacentral:rRNA from 1 species
GAGCAAAGUGUGAGAGUACACGAGCGGCGGACGGCUGAGUAACGCGUGGAACGUACCCCAAAGUGAGGGAUAAGCACCAGAAAUGGUGUCUAAUACCGUAUGUGGUCUUCGGAUUAAAGCUUCGGCGCUUUGGGAGCGGCCUGCGUAUGAUUAGUUUGUUGGUGAGGUAAUGGCUCACCAAGGCUUCGAUCAUUAGCUGGUCUGAGAGGAUGAUCAGCCAGACUGGGACUGAGAACGGCCCAGACUCCUACGGGAGGCAGCAGUAGGGAAUUUUCCACAAUGGGCGAAAGCCUGAUGGAGCAACGCCGCGUGCAGGAUGAAGGCCUUCGGGUUGUAAACUGCUUUUAUAUGUGACGAUUAUGACGGUAGCAUAUGAAUAAGGAUCGGCUAACUCCGUG